UGUGGUUUGCACUGUCUGGGAGCAGCCAAGGACAAGUCACCUCUUGCCUCUGUCCUUGGCCUUACUAGGUGUCCAAGCUCACGC
rfam:Neotoma lepida isolate 417 scaffold_376, whole genome shotgun sequence.